rnacentral:rRNA from 1 species
UACGAAGGGGGCUAGCGUUGCUCGGAAUCACUGGGCGUAAAGCGCACGUAGGCGGCUUGUUAAGUCAGGGGUGAAAUCCUGGAGCUCAACUCCAGAACUGCCUUUGAUACUGGCGACCUUGAGUCCGGGAGAGGUGAGUGGAACUCCGAGUGUAGAGGUGAAAUUCGUAGAUAUUCGGAAGAACACCAGUGGCGAAGGCGGCUCACUGGCCCGGUACUGACGCUGAGGUGCGAAAGCGUGGGGAGCAAACAGG